rnacentral:rRNA from 1 species
AAACUGAAGAGUUUGAUCCUGGCUCAGAUUGAACGCUAGCGGCAUGCCUUACACAUGCAAGUCGAACGGCAGCGGGGGAGCUUGCUCCCGCCGGCGAGUGGCAAACGGGUGAGUAAUACAUCGGAACGUGCCCAGUAGUGGGGGAUAGCCCGGCGAAAGCCGGAUUAAUACCGCAUACGACCUACGGGUGAAAGCGGGGGACCGAAAGGCCUCGCGCUAUUGGAGCGGCCGAUGGCUGAUUAGCUAGUUGGUGGGGUAAAAGCCUACCAAGGCUACGAUCAGUAGCUGGUCUGAGAGGACGACCAGCCACACUGGGACUGAGACACGGCCCAGACUCCUACGGGAG